rnacentral:rRNA from 1 species
UACGGGGGGAGCAAGCGUUGUUCGGAUUUACUGGGCGGAAAGGGCGCGUAGGCGGCGCGACAAGUCACUUGUGAAAUCUCCGGGCUUAACUCGGAACGGUCAAGUGAAACUGUCAUGCUAGAGUGCAGAAGGGGCAAUCGGAAUUCUUGGUGUAGCGGUGAAAUGCGUAGAUAUCAAGAGGAACACCUGAGGUGAAGACGGGUUGCUGGGCUGACACUGACGCUGAGGCGCGAAAGCCAGGGGAGCAAACGGG